UACAGAGGGGGCAAGCGUUGUUCGGAAUUACUGGGCGUAAAGGGCGCGUAGGCGGCCACCGCAAGUCGACUGUGAAAUCUCCGGGCUUAACCCGGAAAGGUCAGCCGAUACUGCGGGGCUAGAGUGCAGAAGGGGCAACUGGAAUUCUCGGUGUAGCGGUGAAAUGCGUAGAUAUCGAGAGGAACACCUGCGGCGAAGGCGGGUUGCUGGGCUGACACUGACGCUGAGGCGCGAAAGCUAGGGGAGCGAACGGG
rnacentral:rRNA from 1 species